UGGUUUCACUUCAGAUCGAAUAAAUCUUCUGCCUUUUACUUAAAA
rnacentral:snRNA from 1 species